CCUACGGGGGGCAGCAGUGGGGAAUAUUGGACAAUGGGGGGAACCCUGAUCCAGCCAUGCCGCGUGUGUGAAGAAGGCCCUCGGGUUGUAAAGCACUUUCAGUGAGGAAGAACGCCUGGUGGUUAAUACCCAUCAGGAAAGACAUCACUCACAGAAGAAGCACCGGCUAACUCCGUGCCAGCAGCCGCGGUAAUACGGAGGGGGCGAGCGUUAAUCGGAAUUACUGGGCGUAAAGCGCGCGUAGGUGGCUUGAUAAGCCGGUUGUGAAAGCCCCGGGCUCAACCUGGGAACGGCAUCCGGAACUGUCAAGCUAGAGUGCAGGAGAGGAAGGUAGAAUUCCCGGUGUAGCGGUGAAAUGCGUAGAGAUCGGGAGGAAUACCAGUGGCGAAGGCGGCCUUCUGGACUGACACUGACACUGAGGUGCGAAAGCGUGGGUAGCAAACAGGAUUAGAUACCCCUGUAGUC
rnacentral:rRNA from 1 species